UACGUAGGGGGCAAGCGUUGUCCGGAUUUAUUGGGCGUAAAGAGCGUGUAGGCGGCCAGGUAGGUCUGCUGUGAAAACUCGAGGCUUAACCUCGAGCUGUCGGCGGAAACCAUCUGGCUAGAGUCCGGAAGAGGAGAAUGGAAUUCCCGGUGUAGCGGUGAAAUGCGCAGAUAUCGGGAAGAACACCGGUGGCGAAAGCGCUCUGCUGGACCACAACUGACACUCACAGGACGAAAGCUAGGGGAGCGAAUGGG
rnacentral:rRNA from 1 species